rnacentral:lncRNA from 1 species
GCAGGGAACACACUGCUCACGGGUCACACACGCGGACACCUGGGUUCCUCGCGGAGAAGUAACUAAGUCGCGAUAUUUGGCCACUCACCGCAAUUCGAAGCGCUGCUCGGACCCGGCAGGUGUCUCUCUCUCUCUCUCACAGUCACACACACACACACCGUCACACGCACACGCACGCAGGAGGAUGUCAGUCGUGCGCCGGCGUACGCGGGAGAUGGACACUGAUCCGGGUUUCGCUUAGAGUUAGAAUCACACCCUCUCCGCUUUGGCUCCGCUAGGGUCCGUUCACACGCAUGAUCAUGAUCAUCAUGUGUGAUGUUCUCCACUCCGGUUGUCCUGGUUGUCCACUCUGAUUGUCCACUCGGACACAGUGGUCUCUGCACUGUCCACCGACCCGUUUGUUCUCAAUUUCAAGAACACAAGUCUUAGUCCGCCGCGCUCGAUAAGUAUCCGCCUCUUUCUUUGUUAAAGUAGAAGCGCGAAGCAGAUAAUUAAGGGCGCGCGCGGCCGCCUCGCGCACGUCGGCACGCUCGCGACAGGUCCGUCGUGAUCUCCCGCCGGAAACAUCUCGUGGAGCCGCCCGCGCGCGUGUUCACUUGUCUCGUGGGAGCCUCUCCCGUUCGGACGUGACGUGACGUGAGAAGAAGGAGGGAAGGAGCGCUCGUCGUAGGAUCGCUUUCUCUUCGUCCUCUCUUAGCGGAGCAUCUCUCGUCCGUCGUGUGUCCGAACUUGGCGCGGAGUCAGACGAGGCGAGAGGGCGCAGUGGUGCAGCGGGCUUCACCGGGUCCUGCUCUCUGGUGAGUCUGGGCUUUGAGUCCUGCUUGGGUUGCCUAGUGAUGGACUGGUGUCUUGUCUUGGGUGUGUCCUCCUCCCCCUCCAGCCUUGCGCCCUGUGUUGCUGAGUUAGGCUCUGGUUCACCGGAACCCCGCUCGGGACAGAUGGUUUCAGACAGUGUGUGUGGUAUGUGUGUGUGUGUGUGUGUGUGUGUGUGUGUGUAUUUAUAAGUAUUUAACUAAUAUUUGGAAUUUGCAAAAAUGAAAAUUUGAGGGAAAAGUAUUAUCCCAAGCCCAUGGCUAUGUCCAUAUAAACCCCAUAUUUAUAUAUAAAUUUUGAAAUGGAAUAAAAUUUUAACCCCCAGUAACCUCCA